rnacentral:lncRNA from 1 species
CUCUGAAGGAAUUGCAGAGCCGAAUGAAUCCUCUCUUCAAAUCUUCCAGAUACUCCAAACUCUCCUUGCUUGAUUUCUAGCUUUCAAAGAUGAUUCUCCUCCUCUCUCUUGCUGGUGUUUUAGGAUCCUUAAAUAGGGCUAGGGCUAGGGUGAAGGUGGUAUUUUUUCUAUGAUUUUAUUCUAUAUAUCAUUCUUUUUAUUUGGUAUAGAAUCUCUCCUCCUUUGGAUAGGCUUUAAGCAACCACCAGCCAUCUACUCCUUAUGCUGCCCAAACUUUUUGAUUUUAUUAUGAUUUCUAUAGUAAAAGAAGGAAAGGAGGCAUGGUUAAUUAGAAGAGAAGAAUU